rnacentral:misc_RNA from 1 species
GCCCAGGUUUGGGGAUUUUUCUAUUAAGAAAUCGCAGUCGUCUUCGGUCUUUGAGAAGGGCGGGAAUAUGUUUGGGUCUUUGCCCAAUUGCAAUGAUGAUGGAUCGAUUGAGGUGGUGGAGUCUCCGGUGAUAAACGGAGGCGGCGUAGGGGUGGCGAACGGAAUUUCGGGAAAGAAAAUUUCGGUUUUGCCGCCGCCUACUGCCAGGGCGAUCGCAAGCGCAUUCUCUGGCGUGGAAGUGACAGCAAGUACAAAGCUUCCUGUGAGGAGCAGCGCGGUGGUCAAUUUCAGAUGGGGAGUUAGGGUUCCUGCGGAAUUUAAGAAUGGUACUGUUGGUGAUUCAACAGCUGGGAUCAAUCUUAGAAAGAUUCCGUUUUUGGUGAUGAAUAAGAUAGGGAUUGAGCAUAUUGAUGGUGAUGAUUCGAAAUCAAAAGGGACGGCAUCUGCCCCAAUGAAGUUGAGCUCGGAAUUGACAAAUACUGAUAUGGCGGAGGCUUGUUUGACGGUGAAGCGGCAACUGGAGGUGUUGCAAGCUGAGAAUGGGCUAUUGAAGAAAGCUGUGGAAGAUCUCAGGCAGGAAAUUGCUUCAGGUAAGGUAAGUUUGCCGGAUUUCAAUUCUGGCAAAUACAGAGAAAAUGAGAGGAACGGAAUGAAAAAUGUGAAUAGCAGUAGAAUUGAAAGGAGAAGCAAUGAGAAGAAAUCAAUGGAGGGGGAUGUGCAUGAGGAGUUGAAGAAGUCAUUGAAGGGAACUGUUGGUGUUGGUGCUUGAAUUUGUAGAAAUCUCUGUAGGGUAUAUACAUGUAAAAGCUGCUAAGUGUGUUUAUCUAGACUUAUUAGCAGGUUUGUUUUGUUCAAUUCUAUGCCAAAUUUUAUAAAACCCUAAACAAUCCUUACA